CUAGAAUUUGUCUGUCCCUCGACUGCCAUUCAUGAAAUGGGAAUGCUGCUCAGUGGACUGUCUGGAGACAGCUGUGAGACUGUUCAUCAGAAAGUAUUAAUAAUUAAUGUCACGGGGUUGCAAGAGAGGUAAGAUUUGUGGGGAGGCUGAAAGUAAGCACAGGACACACUGGCAGCAAAAUCCUAGAAAGGCAGGGAGGAUCAGAAGCCAGAACUGGUGCUGAAGUGAGGGUGGCAGGAAGGAAUUCCCUCCAUCCCUGUGUCUGAUCUCGGAUCACAGCAGAUGGCACUUCAGUCCUGCCUCAGCCCUUCACUACAGGAAAAGGGACAAAGCCAGGGGGGCUUCUGCAGCUUCCAUGGCUUCCUUUGUGGAGAGAUACUUGAUAAACCAUCAGAAGUUAAUGAUCAAAAAGCUUAUCAGGGUCUUUUCAUCUAUAAAUUUAUAAGACAAAAGAGAAAUAAUAAAGCCAUUGGAUAAUUAGUAACUAGCCAGGGCCCGCCCGGUGCCACUGGGCUCAAACUACCCCAAGACCUGCACGCAGACUCAGGAAGAUGAGAAGGAGACGAGGAUGAAGGGAAGAAAAUGAGUGGGAGGCAGAGGGAGAAUCAGCCAAGGAGACAACAAAAUGGGAGGAACAGCAGCAGAGACAGAAGUGAGAAGGGAAAUGGGUAAAAAGAGUUUGAAAGAGGUAAAGGGAACAGGGGAGACUUAAAGAUGGAACAGAGCUGGAAGUGGGGAAGAAAGGAGAGACAUACUGAGCCAGAAGGAAGACUGAAUUAUUGGGAAUGUUUCCCCACCCAGACAUGGCUGCACCCAGAGCACCACGUGGCCUCCCUGCAGGGUGUUAACAAAGCUCAGAUGGACACAGAAGACUUCCUUUGUGUGGCUAAAAAGAAGUAACGGUUCGGAGUCCACGUAAAAACAUUUAAUGAUUCCUUAUACACACAGAAGGCCUGACGGUGCUGCUUCUGCUUGCCUUGGAGACCUUCAGCUGCAGAGGCUUUUUUUUGAAACCAGUGAACUCUGAAGUCCAUAAACCCAGAAAUGAACAUCUGUUUGUGUGCUGGGACCUCGCUGAACGCUACAGCUGGAUGCCUUGUGGAGAACCCUUAGCUGAGCAUGGAAACCUUUCAAAUACUAAGGAGGAGGUAAAUAUUCUCUACCACUUUAUCCUGAGGGGCUUUUUCCCUUGGUCUGUUAGAAUUGUCCAUUUUAAACUGCAGGAGCCUUGGGGAAUUAGCAAAAGAACAGCAGACUUACCCACUUGGAUCAUUCCAUUGAGUGGAACCUGCCACUGAAUGGUUCAGCACUCCGUUAAGUAUUUCAGAUUCUUCAGUGCAGGAAAACCAGUGAGCUCUUCAGUGUUUCUUAAAUGUUACAGGUGUAAGGAAUGGAGGGGAUUUCUGCUGCAAAUCAGCCACUAUCCCUAUUUUACACCCUGGCAUUAGGGAUUGCAAUAUCCUAUUUCCCAGUGCCGUGAUGUGCAGUUGUGAGGGGAUGAGAACAGUAGAGGUCAGGGGUGGAAGCUGCAGAGCUUUUACCAGUUAGAUUCUAGUUCUAGUAGUAGAACAAGAGCUCAUUUGCAGAGUCUGGCCAUAAUCUAGUGUUCUCCUAUAAUGAAUUGUACUCAGGGGUUGUGCCUUGAGAAUGAAUAUUUGAGAUAAGGGGUCUUGGGUUUGCUAACCCAUCUAUUACCAGUGCUUAGUAUAUGUUGCUUUCCUGAAUUGUGGCAACUUCCCAGGCCAUGACUUGAUUCUCCAGUCACUCUGAUUAAUGUGAUUGUGGUAGUUGUGACAGGAGAAGCUUUUAAAUUUUGGAGACACCGAGUGAGACCUGCUUGUUUGCAGUAUUUGGUUCUGUACUUUUUUUCCCUGCAGAAUCACUUGGUUUUCCUUAGGUGUAAUUAAUCUGGUGGUUGAGACCCCUCAAAUUCAGUGUUUUGUUGACAAGAUAUAAGCAGUUUUACAGCAUUAAUUCUGGCCAGCUUAAUAGCAAGCUCACAAACAAUGUUCCAUUAACAAAUCAGUCUGGAUGCAGAUUGGAAAAAUAUAUCAGUAAUCACAAGAAGUCUGAUUUCCAUUUUAUUUUAAUGGUGAGUUUAAUAAAGAUUUUUUAAAUACGUUCAACACUUUGUGUUCUCCUACUAUGCUUGAAUAUAACUUCUGUGCAUUUUUUAAGAAGUAUUUUCUUCUCCUGAAGUAGCAGACAGUGUGACAAUCCAGUGACAGCUAUCUUACAAAACUGGCUUCCCAGAAUUCUCCAAUAUCCUUCUAGGCAAUGGUCGUGGGCUCCUCUAAUGAAAUUCUAUUUUAUUGGUAAAUAAUAGUCUGUCUUGAUUAAGUGUUCCAAAUUAAUCCCUUCUCCGCUACAUGUAAUAUUGAAUUACUAAUUAAAUGGAUUACUUACUAACACUGAAAACAACUGCAUGGAAGUAUAAAUGGGUACACAGUAGGAACAUUACUCCUAUUUUACUCCUGCUGGUCUGCAUUCUGCUUGUUGCACUUGGGCAAAGCCCCAGUGAGGGACAGGAGAGUGCUGUGAACAGCGUGCAAGGUAGAACAGGCUCCCAACACCUGGUUUCUUGUAUCAACACCGUUUUUACCUCUGAUGUUUUAAUUUACUGAAUAAUACCUACUAUUAAGUGUACAUGAUGAAAAAUACAGUAAUUUGCUGGGAUAAAGCCAGUGUAAUGUGGCUUCAAGGAGAAUACAGAGAAGGAAAAAACCCUAAAUUUAUUUAUGCUAAAAGUGCUUCCAGAGGGAGCCUGUGUAGUCCCCUGAAUAGGGUGGCAAAAUUGCCAUUGGCAAAAGAAACACAGAGAAACGGUUCUAUUAAUAAUUUUUUACCAUUUUAAUGUUCUUCCUGCUGAGACUGCUAAAUGCUUUACUGCCCUGAAUGACAUUACCAUAAUCCCCCCCUUGAAAUGUGAGAGUUAUUAUGAUAAUGUUCACCCUCGUUUCUGUUAUUGGGGGGAAGAAAGCUACGCAAGGACCGAAACUGGUGAUUAGUUGUGCUUUGGGAGCUCAGUCCCAAAAGGCACACAGGAGUGUGAAAAAUCUGAGGUAAUUGUCAUUUAUAUGUUGUUUUCAUGGGGUUGGAUUUCAGCUAUUCGUGCAAACCCCAGGUAUCUCAGUGGGGAAGGACUUGCUCAAAUACAUGGGUUUAAUGUUUCAAGUACAUAUCCAUUUACCUUCCAAUUUAGUAGGUUUUGUUGUAAAUAUGUGAUUGUAGUUGCAAAAUGUGAUUUUCCAGAGAAGGAAGCUGUGUUUUUUUUAUUGGUGCCUCCUUCCAUACUUCUAAUAGUGCAACCAAAACUUCCAGAGCCAAGAAGGUGCAAGGCUGCCUUUUGACUGAGGCACUGGAGUGACUUCUUGGGUUUCUCCUUGCCACUGUUUGCAGGUUUCAGUUGCAUUCAGAAGGACAGAUAUUUAACUCUUUAUAUUUGUUACACUUUGGGAGUCUCAGUGAAACUAAGGAAGGUGUAACAAGCAUUAGGAACUGGGCUGGAUGCAGAGCUUGGAGUCACAGUGAGAUAAUGGGGUUAAAUUACAGGCUCUCUCUACACAUUCCUCCCCCUGUAUGGGGAAGCAGGACUGUCCUCCUUCCCAGUCACCCAUCGGUUCCCCCCACACUUAUUGCCUGUUUUACCGUCAGGAUGAGGCUGGAGAGCGGGAGCAGCUCUGGAGUGGGGCUAUGAAGGAGUUUCCCACUAGGUGGUAGUGAAGAGAAUCCUGUCACACGUAUGGUCAGUGCAGUUUUAAUUGAGCUUAUCGAGGGGAAUCCCACAAGGAUCCUACAACUUAACAGCCCAGCGUAGCUCCCAGCUGUACAGUCAGAACUGGAUCUCUUGAUUUUUAUUUCUUUUUUUUUGCCUUCCCUUUCUGCUCAUUUCCAUGCUAUUUGUUCCUCCCAAAACCAAGCAGGGUUGACAACUCUACCUGUCAUGUCCUUUCCUGAAAGGUGAAGUGUCUACAUGAAGCUACUCUGGUUCUUUCCACCUCCAUUAGAGCAGAAUCAAGACAUGGUUAGCUAAAUGUCAUCCUCUGACAUUUAAACAACUUGGAGGUGAGGACUCCUUGGAGCCAGUACUUUCAUCUGAUUUUUCUCCACCACACUUGCCUCUGGGAGCUAACCUUCCAAAUACAAAAAUUGAAAGAAAAAAAACAAGAGGUUUUGUUUGCUCCUAGUUUUGAAAUGCCUUGACAGGUCUAAGCAAAGCAUCAGUCUACAUCAAAGGUUC